rnacentral:rRNA from 1 species
UGGGGAAUAUUGGGCAAUGGGCGCAAGCCUGACCCAGCCAUGCCGCGUGAGUGAUGAAGGCCUUCGGGUCGUAAAGCUCUGUGGGGAGGGACGAAAGGCCGGGGUGUUAACACCACCUCGGAGUGACGGUACCUCCUUAGCAAGCACCGGCUAACUCCGUGCCAGCAGCCGCGGUAAUACGGAGGGUGCAAACGUUGCUCGGAAUCAUUGGGCGUAAAGCGUACGUAGGCGGUCCUUUAAGUCGGGUGUGAAAGCCCAAGGCUCAACCUUGGAAGUGCAUUCGAAACUGAAGGGCUUGAGUACGGAAGAGGGUCUCGGAAUUCCCGGUGUAGAGGUGAAAUUCGUAGAUAUCGGGAGGAACACCAGUGGCGAAGGCGGAGACCUGGGCCGAUACUGACGCUGAGGUACGAAAGCGUGGGGAGCAAACAG